ACGCGUGGAACCUUACCAGGUCUUGACAUCCUCUGACACUCCUAGAGAUAGGGCGUUCCCCUUCGGGGGACAGAGUGACAGGUGGUGCAUGGUUGUCGUCAGCUCGUGUCGUGAGAUGUUGGGUUAAGUCCCGCAACGAGCGCAACCCUUGUCCUUAGUUGCCAGCAUUUAGUUGGGCACUCUAAGGAGACUGCCGGUGACAAACCGGAGGAAGGUGGGGAUGACGUCAAAUCAUCAUGCCCCUUAUGACCUGGGCUACACACGUGCUACAAUGGAUAGAACAAAGGGCAGCGAAGCCGCGAGGUCAAGCAAAUCCCAUAAAUCUAUUCUCAGUUCGGAUUGUAGGCUGCAACUCGCCUACAUGAAGCCGGAAUCGCUAGUAAUCGCGGAUCAGCAUGCCGCGGUGAAUACGUUCCCGGGCCUUGCACACACCGCCCGU
rnacentral:rRNA from 1 species